CACAUUACAAAAAGGAGUAGACUGAGAUU
rnacentral:piRNA from 1 species